CGUACUUCCGGCCGUCCGUCACCACGAUCAGGAUCCUGCUGGCCCCCGCCCGGGUCCCCCGCCCGGGCCCGAACACCUCCGUCCUACCAGGGCGACCGUCGUCACCCUCGGGUGCCGCCACGUCGCCCUCGGGGUGCCGCCACGUAUCCCUUGGGUCCCACUACGUCACCCUUGGGUGCCACCACAUCACCCUGGGGUCCCACCACAUCAUGAUGGGGUCCCACCACGUCACCCCGGGGUCCCACCACGUCACCCCGAGGUCCCACCACAUCACCCUUGGGGCCACCACGUCAUGAUGGGGUCCCACCACGUGUCCCUUGGGGCAACUAUGUCACCCCGGGGUCCCACCACGUCACCCUUGGGGCCACCACGUCAUGAUGGCGUCCCACCACAUCACCCCGGGCUCCCACCACGUGUCCCUUGGGUGCCACCCCGUCACGAUGGGGUCCCACCACAUAUCCCUUGGGGCCACCAUGUCACCCUUGGGUGCCAC
rnacentral:lncRNA from 1 species